GAUAAGAACGCAGCGAAAUGCGAUAAGUAAUGUGAAUUGCAGAAUUCAGUGAAUCAUCGAAUCUUUGAACGCAUCUUGCGCUCCUUGGUAUUCUGAGGAGCAUGCCUGUUUGAGUGUCAUUAAAUUCUCAACUACACUGACUUUGAAUUGGUGUGGCUUGGAUUUGGGGGGAAAAUUGUUGUGGGCUUUUUGUAUAGUCUGCUCCCCUGAAAUUGAUUAGCGGUACCUUUGUGGAACUGUCUACAGGUGUGAUAAUUAUCUACAUCUUAGACAUCUGCUGGAAUGCUGCUUUCUAAACCUUACUUGUAUUGACAAUCUUGACCUCAAAUCAGGUAGGACUACCCGCUGAACUUAAGCAUAUCAAUAAGCGGAGGA
rnacentral:misc_RNA from 1 species